GACAGAGGUCCCGAGCGUUAGGCGGAAUCACUGGGCUUAAAGCGUGUGUAGGCGGAUCGUUAAGUGUCUUGUGAAAUCCCACGGCUCACCCGUGGAACCGCUGGGCAUACUGGCGAUCUCGGGCCAUUCAGGGGCGACUGGAACAAGCGGUGGAGCGGUGAAAUGCGUAGAUAUCGCUUGGAACGCCGAAGGUGAAAACAGGUCGCUGGGGAUGUGCCGACGCUGAGACACGAAAGCCAGGGGAGCAAACGGG
rnacentral:rRNA from 1 species